GCGGSGUGCCUAAWACAUGCAAGUCGAGCGGACCGACGGGAGCUUGCUCCCUUAGGUCAGCGGCGGACGGGUGAGUAACACGUGGGUAACCUGCCUGUAAGACUGGGAUAACUCCGGGAAACCGGGGCUAAUACCGGAUGCUUGAUUGAACCGCAUGGUUCAAUCAUAAAAGGUGGCUUUUAGCUACCACUURCAGAUGGACCCGCGGCGCAUUAGCUAGUUGGUGAGGUAACGGCUCACCAAGGCGACGAUGCGUAGCCGACCUGAGAGGGUGAUCGGCCACACUGGGACUGAGACACGGCCCAGACUCCUACGGGAGGCAGCAGUAGGGAAUCUUCCGCAAUGGACGAAAGUCUGACGGAGCAACGCCGCGUGAGUGAUGAAGGUUUUCGGAUCGUAAAACUCUGUUGUUAGGGAAGAACAAGUACCGUUCGAAUAGGGCGGYACCUUGACGGUACCUAACCARAAAGCCACGGCUAACUACGU
rnacentral:rRNA from 1 species